rnacentral:rRNA from 1 species
AUUGAACGCUGGCGGCAGGCCUAACACAUGCAAGUCGAACGGUAACAGGAAACAGCUUGCUGUUUCGCUGACGAGUGGCGGACGGGUGAGUAAUGUCUGGGAAACUGCCUGAUGGAGGGGGAUAACUACUGGAAACGGUAGCUAAUACCGCAUAACGUCGCAAGACCAAAGAGGGGGACCUUCGGGCCUCUUGCCAUCGGAUGUGCCCAGAUGGGAUUAGCUAGUAGGUGGGGUAACGGCUCACCUAGGCGACGAUCCCUAGCUGGUCUGAGAGGAUGACCAGCAACAAUGGAACUGAGACAGGGUCCAGACUCCUACGGGAGGCAGCAGUGGGGAAUAUUGCACAAUGGGCGCAAGCCUGAUGAAGCCAUGCCGCGUGGAUGAAGAAGGCCUUCGGGUUGUAAAGUACUUUCAGCGGGGAGGAAGGGAGUAAAGUUAAUACCUUGGCUCAUUGACGUUACCCGCAGAAGAAGCACCGGCUAACUCCGUG